CUACGGGUGGCAGCAGUGAGGAAUAUUGCACAAUGGGGGAACCCUGAUGCAGCAACGCCGCGUGGAGGAUGACGCAUUUCGGUGUGUAAACUCCUUUUAUAUGUCAAGAAAAUGACGGUAGCAUAUGAAUAAGCACCGGCUAACUCCGUGCCAGCAGCCGCGGUAAUACGGAGGGUGCAAGCGUUACUCGGAAUCACUGGGCGUAAAGGACGCGUAGGCGGGUUGGAAAGUCAGGUGUGAAAUCCUACAGCUUAACUGUAGAACUGCACUUGAAACUUCUAAUCUAGAGUAUGGGAGGGGGAAAUGGAAUUAGUGGUGUAGGGGUAAAAUCCGUAGAUAUCACUAGGAAUACCUAAAGCGAAGGCGAUCUCCUGGAACAUUAUUGACGCUGAGACGCGAAAGCGUGGGGAGCAAACAGGAUUAGAUACCCCGGUAGUC
rnacentral:rRNA from 1 species